CUCUGCCCCACCCCCAUUUGCACACAUGUGCUCUCUCGCUCUCUCCAAAUAAACAUUAAAAAAAAUAAACAUGGGGCAGCAUGCAUGAAGGCCCUGAUGAUAAAGAGUGUCAGUGACUAUUAAAGGUGGGAUUUAGGCUCACUCCCAAAGACCAACGCUGAGGAGGGACCUUGCAAAGGGUAAGUCAAACCCUCAGUCUCCCUGGAUACUUUGGUCCUUUGUCCUCUUUGCUCUACCUGUCACUCUCCUGCCAUCACAGUGGGCACCUGUCAGGUCACAACUACUGGCCAAAGAGAAACCCAGCUCAUCACUUCUGCCCCUCCCACAGAUAAGCAGAACCCCCAGGACCACCAUCACUGUGAAUGAACAUGAAGUGAUGUUUGGCUAGCCAAGAGUCAGUGCAUGUCAGGCUAAUUUAUGAUAAUUACCAAGCCAUCAGCUGGUACCUGGACAAACUGUCUAUGAUUCUUCACCCAGCUGGCCUAGGUUCCACAAGUUCCCAAAAGGCUGUUCUUCCAGAUCCUCCAGUGCCUCACUCCCCUGUAAUGAGGUGAUAUGUCCACCAUCGUUGCCAUGUGACUUUGCAGUACCUCCCCCUAGAACAGACCAAGCAUGCCUCCCCACCAGACUGAUGUUGGGUUUGGCCGUGUGUUGACUAAGGGAAUGUUGGUAGAACAUGUGGCAGUUAGGAGCCAAAGUCUUAAGAGCCAUCACACGUUUCCACUAGACAUCUUCUGCUGGAGUGAGCUGCCAUGCGAUGAACCUGUCCUAGAGCACCUGUGGCCUCCUUAGCCCAAGCAAGCUCCAAAUCCUAGUGGAAAGCUCAGGCCUCUCCCGAAGGACCCAGGACCUCAGAAACUCUGAGCUGCUCUCCUCAACACUUUAAUCUCUUCUUGCUGAAGCCCCCCACCCUAUUACUAAGAAACUGCUGCAGCUGCUACAGAUAGAAGAAACACAGGGACAUCAAGUUAUGAAAGGCCAACUGACUUCCAUCCUUCCUUCCGUGAAACUUCACCAAGCACCCACCUGCUACUAGAUCCAAGGAUACAAAGCCAGUGGAGAGCCCCCUCCUCUUUAUAGGGUUGUUCACAGGUUUGUGGGAGUUGAGCAGGUACGCAAAGAGCUCCAAUGGUGUUCUGUGAGAUAAAGGCCUCUGCAAGCAAGCCUUUUUUGGUCAAAGAAAUGAAGAGCCAGUGCGGAAACCAGA